CAGCACCUCAAGUGGUCAGGAUGAUUAUUGGGCCUAAAGCAUCCGUAGCCGGCGCUGUAAGUUUUCGGUUAAAUCUGUACGCUCAACGUACAGGCUGCCGGGAAUACUGCAGCGCUAGGGAGUGGGAGGGGUAGACGGUACUCGGUAGGAAGGGGUAAAAUCCUUUGAUCUAUUGAUGACCACCUGUGGCGAAGGCGGUCUACCAGAACACGUCCGACGGUGAGGGAUGAAAGCUGGGGGAGCAAACCGGAUUAGAUACCCGUGUAGUCC
rnacentral:rRNA from 1 species